rnacentral:rRNA from 1 species
UACGAAGGGGGCUAGCGUUGCUCGGAAUUACUGGGCGUAAAGGGCGCGUAGGCGGAUAGUUUAGUCAGAGGUGAAAGCCCAGGGCUCAACCUUGGAAUUGCCUUUGAUACUGGCUGUCUUGAGUACGGGAGAGGUGAGUGGAACUCCGAGUGUAGAGGUGAAAUUCGUAGAUAUUCGGAAGAACACCAGUGGCGAAGGCGACUCACUGGCUCGUAUCUGACGCUCAGGCGCGAUAGCGUGGGGAUCAAACAGG